rnacentral:misc_RNA from 1 species
ACAUUCUGCCUGAUCUC